AGCGAACGCUGGCGGCAGGCCUAACACAUGCAAGUCGAACGAAGUCUUCGGACUUAGUGGCGGACGGGUGAGUAACACGUGGGAACGUACCUUUUGGUUCGGAACAACUCAGGGAAACUUGAGCUAAUACCGGAUGAGCCCUUAGGGGGAAAGAUUUAUCGCCGAAAGAGCGGCCCGCGUUAGAUUAGCUAGUUGGUGAGGUAAAGGCUCACCAAGGCUACGCUCUAUAGCUGGUCUGAGAGGAUGAUCAGCCACACUGGGACUGAGACACGGCCCAGACUCCUACGGGAGGCAGCAGUGGGGAAGCUUGCGCAAUGGGCGAAAGCCUGACGCAGCCAUGCCGCGUGAAUGAUGAAGGUCUUAGGAUUGUAAAAUUCUUUUACCAGGGACGAUAAUGACGGUACCUGGAGAAAAAGCCCCGGCUAACUUCGUGCCAGCCGCCGCGGUAACAC
rnacentral:rRNA from 1 species